rnacentral:rRNA from 1 species
UACGGGGGGGGCAAGCGUUGUUCGGAAUUACUGGGCGUAAAGGGCUCGUAGGCGGCCCGCUAAGUCGAACGUGAAAUCCCCGAGCUCAACUCGGGAACUGCGUCCGAUACUGGCGGGCUUGAAUCCGGGAGAGGGAUGCGGAAUUCCAGGUGUAGCGGUGAAAUGCGUAGAUAUCUGGAGGAACACCGGUGGCGAAGGCGGCAUCCUGGACCGGCAUUGACGCUGAGGCGCGAAAGCUAGGGGAGCAAACGGG